GCCAUGCACGUGUAAGUACAGACCACUUUUAGUGGUGACACCGCGAACGGCUCAUUAGAUCGAUCAUUGUUCCUUGGAUGGUACGAGCGCCUGGUCCUCUGUCAAAGGGGGACCGGGAGUGCUAUGUGGAUAACUGUGGCAAUUCUAGAGCUAAUACAUGCGUGACGAGUCCGGUUGCGUUCUCUCGGGGACGGAAUCGGGCGCUUUUAUUAGACUGCGAUUGAGGGUCCGCGAGGGCCCGGUCGUUGGUGACUCUGGAUAACUAUUUAGCCGAGAACCCGCAAAGCUCCUCCUCUGGGGGAGCGGGUUCCGCAUCUUUCAAGUGUUCGGCCUAUCAAGUUUCGACGGUAGUCGAUUUGACUACGGUGCUUCUGACGGGUACCGGGGAAUCUGGGUUCGAUUCCGGAGAGGGAGCCUGAGAAACGGCUACCACGUCCAAGGAAGGCAGCAGGCGCGCAAAUUACCCACUCCCGGCACGGGGAGGUAGUGACGAAAAAUACCGAUGCGGGGCCCCCCGCGGGGCUCUCGUAAUCUGGACUGAGUACACUCUAAAGCCUUGCUUAGCGAGGAUCUACUGGAGGGCAAGUCUGGUGCCAGCAGCCGCGGUAAUUCCAGCUCCAGCAGCGUAUACUAAAGUUGUUGCAGUUAAAAAGCUCGUAGUCGGAUGUGGGUUGGCUUCGGCCAGUGUGUGGGCUUCGUCGGUGCGUUUGCUUUCUGCGGACGGCUACUGACGGGUCCGGCCUUGCGGUGGGCUCGCAGGUCUCUGAUCUGCGGGUCCCCGCUGUUACUUUGAAAAAAUGAGAGUGUUCAAGACGGGCUACUGAGGCUCGAAUUAGAAAGCAUGGAAUAAUGGAAGAUGAUCCCGCCUCUCCGCCCCGAAGGGGGGUCAAACCUCGUGAAGGGUGCGAGUCUGGUGGGAUAAUGAUGAAGAGAGACGGUCGGGGGCAUUCGUAUUGCGGCGCGAGAGGUGAAAUUCUUGGACCGUCGCAAGACGGACUGGUGCGAAAGCGUUUGCCAAGGACGUUUUCAUUGAUCGAGAGCGAAAGUCUGAGGUUCGAAGACGAUCAGAUACCGUCGUAGUUCAGACCGUAAACGAUGUCGACCGGGGCUCGGCGGGCCCGUCGUUGUCCCGAUUGCAGGGACUGGUGACACCGCCGGUACCCUCCCCCUCGGUUCGGGAAACCUUUGAGUGUUUGGAUUCCGGGGGGAGUAUGGUUGCAAAGCUGAAACUUAAAGGAAUUGACGGAAGGGCACCACCAGGAGUGGAGCCUGCGGCUUAAUUUGACUCAACACGGGAAAGCUUACCCGGCCCGGACACCGUGAGGAUUGACAGAUUGAGAGCUCUUUCUCGAUUCGGUGGAUGGUGGUGCAUGGCCGUUCUUAGUUGGUGGAGUGAUUUGUCUGGUUGAUUCCGAUAACGAACGAGACUCUAGCCUGCUAACUAGUCUCACAGAUGGACAGCCCCUUGCGGGUUGUUACUAUCGUCUGCGAGUGCAUAUUGCCCACAAUGCAUGUUGUGGGUAAACUUCUUAGAGGGACAAGCGGUAGUUUGAAGCCGCACGAGAUUGAGCGAUAACAGGUCUGUGAUGCCCUUAGAUGUCCGGGGCCGCACGCGCGCUACACUGUAGAUCGCAGCGAGUCUCCCAGUGUCCCUCCCGUAGCCGGGUGGGUAAACCUAUGAAAGAUCAGACGUGGAUUGGGACCGGGCCUUGAAACUGUUGCCCGCGAACGAGGAAUUCCCAGUAAGCGCGAGUCAUAAGCUGGCGUUGAUUACGUCCCUGCCCUUUGUACACACCGCCCGUCGCUACUACCGAUUGGACGGUUUAGCGAGGCCCUCGGAUCGGAGCACGCCUUAAUAGGCGGGCACCCGAGAAGGCGGUCGAACUUGACCGUCUAGAGGAAGUAAAAGUCGUAACAAGGUUUCCGUAGGUGAAC
rnacentral:rRNA from 1 species